UAACCAACUUUUCGACAGACAAGCUGUCUUCAUCAGGGCACCAAAACAGCAGACAAGUUGAUCCUCCCACUUCAAAGCCCUUAGUUGUUGCGGAAAUUGACCCACUAUUCUGUUUACUUUCUGCAUCUCCGUCAUAUCGCUGAGUCUACCUUUAAGUCAUGAACUGCAGUAAGAUUGGAGGGGCUUACGGACAGGCACGAACCUGCAAAGGGCAGUGAAAACCCACCAAGAAUGAACCGGUUAUGCUGCCAUCUCAGAAGAGGGCUCUGUUCCUCGACCCAAUGGGGGAAAGUGCCAGAAAGAUAAAAAGAUGCCAGGCGGUGCUUGAUGUUCAGAUCAUUCCUGAGAGAGAAGGGGUGUGAUAUCUCCAGAUGGGCAUGUGGUACCUUGCUUCUUGUGGGGUCCUUGCCUUGAAAUUUGCUGAAUGUGUUCUGAAGGAGGCGUCGAUUGUCUUUUCAAAUACAGACAAAGAUGUUAACAUCAUGAGAAAAUAAAUAGCAGUCACUCUCCUCCA